rnacentral:tRNA from 1 species
GGACAGGUGGCGGAGCGGCUGAACGCGCUAGUCUCGAAAACUAGUUAACCCUUCGGGGUUACGUGGGUUCGAAUCCCACCCUGUCCG